GAUGAACGCUGGCGGCGUGCCUAACACAUGCAAGUCGAGCGAUUCACUUCGGUGAAGAGCGGCGGACGGGUGAGUAACGCGUGGGUAACCUGCCUCAUACACAUGGGUAACAUACCGAAAGGUAUGCUAAUACAAGAUGAUAUAAGAGAUUCGCAUGGAUUCCUUAUCAAAGCUCCGGCGGUAUGAGAUGGACCCGCGUCUGAUUAGCUAGUUGGUAAGGUAACGGCUUACCAAGGCGACGAUCAGUAGCCGACCUGAGAGGGUGAUCGGCCACAUUGGAACUGAGACACGGUCCAAACUCCUACGGGAGGCAGCAGUGGGGAAUAUUGCACAAUGGGCGAAAGCCUGAUGCAGCAACGCCGCGUGAGCGAUGAAGGCCUUCGGGUCGUAAAGCUCUGUCCUCAAGGAAGAUAAUGACGGUACUUGAGGAGGAAGCCCCGGCUAACUACGUGCCAGCCGCCGCAGUAAGAC
rnacentral:rRNA from 1 species